rnacentral:rRNA from 1 species
ACCACCUGAUUAGUGGCGAACGGGUGAGUAACACGUGAGUAACCUGCCCUCCACUUCGGGAUAACCUCGGGAAAUCGUGGCUAAUACCGGAUAUGAGCACUCAUCGCAUGGUGGGUGCUGGAAAGAUUUAUCGGUGGGGGAUGGACUCGCGGCCUAUCAGUUUGUUGGUGAGGUGAUGGCUCACCAAGACGAUGACGGGUAGCCGGCCUGAGAGGGCGACCGGCCACACUGGGACUGAGACACGGCCCAGACUCCUACGGGAGGCAGCAGUGGGGAAUAUUGCACAAUGGGCGAAAGCCUGAUGCAGCGACGCCGCGUGGGGGAUGACGGCCUUCGGGUUGUAAACCCCUUUCAGUAGGGAAGAAGCGAGAGUGACGGUACCUGCAGAAGAAGCGCCGGCUAACUACGUGCCAGCAGCCGCGGUAAUACGUAGGGCGCAAGCGUUGUCCGGAAUUAUUGGGCGUAAAGAGCUUGUAGGUGGCUUGUCGCGUCUGCCGUGAAAACCCGAGGCUCAACCUCGGGCGUGCGGUGGGUACGGGCAGGCUAGAGUGUGGUAGGGGAGACUGGAACUCCUGGUGUAGCGGUGAAAUGCGCAGAUAU